CUAAGCAUGAAGCCCCCCUCAAGAUGAGAUUUCCCAUUUGAGCUCCCUGAAAGAUGAUCAGGUUGAUAGGUCUGAGGUGGAAGCGUGGCGACACGCGAAGCUGACAGAUACUAAUCGAGCAAGCACUUAACCAAA
rnacentral:rRNA from 1 species